AAGUCAGAUGUGAAAGACCCGGGGCUCAACCUCGGAAUAGCAUUUGAAACUGGCAGACUAGAGUACUGUAGAGGGGGGUAGGAAUUUCAGGUGUAGCGGUGAAAUGCGUAGAGAUCUGAAGGAAUACCGGUGGCGAAGGCGGCCCCCUCGGACAGAUACUGACACUCAGAUGCGAAAGCGUGGGGAGCAAACAGGAUUAGAUACCCUGGUAG
rnacentral:rRNA from 1 species